CAGCCGCCGCGGUAACACGUAGGUGGCAAGCGUUGUCCGGAAUUAUUGGGCGUAAAGGGCUCGCAGGCGGUUUCUUAAGUCUGAUGUGAAAGCCCCCGGCUCAACCGGGGAGGGUCAUUGGAAACUGGGAAACUUGAGUGCAGAAGAGGAGAGUGGAAUUCCACGUGUAGCGGUGAAAUGCGUAGAGAUGUGGAGGAACACCAGUGGCGAAGGCGACUCUCUGGUCUGUAACUGACGCUGAGGAGCGAAAGCGUGGGGAGCGAACAGGAUUAGAUACCCGCGUAGUCCCUGUCUCUUAUAC
rnacentral:rRNA from 1 species